GGGUCAGUAGGUUGGUCGUGCCACCGGUACGUACUGGUCUCACUGAUUCCUCCUUCCUGAAGAACCGUAAUGCCAUUAAUUUGGUGUUGCGGGGAAACAGGACUGUUACUUUGAAGAAAUUAGAGUGUUUAAAGCAAGCUAACGCUUGAAUACAUUAGCAUGGAAUAAUGAAAUAGGACGAUCGAUCCUAUUUUGUUUGUUUCUAGGAUUGACGUA
rnacentral:rRNA from 1 species